AUUGAACGCUGGCGGCAGGCUUAACACAUGCAAGUCGAGCGGGGGAAGGUAGCUUGCUACUGGACCUAGCGGCGGACGGGUGAGUAAUGCUUAGGAAUCUGCCUAUUAGUGGGGGACAACAUCUCGAAAGGGAUGCUAAUACCGCAUACGUCCUACGGGAGAAAGCAGGGGAUCUUCGGACCUUGCGCUAAUAGAUGAGCCUAAGUCGGAUUAGCUAGUUGGUGGGGUAAAGGCCUACCAAGGCGACGAUCUGUAGCGGGUCUGAGAGGAUGAUCCGCCACACUGGGACUGAGACACGGCCCAGACUCCUACGGGAGGCAGCAGUGGGGAAUAUUGGACAAUGGGGGGAACCCUGAUCCAGCCAUGCCGCGUGUGUGGAGAAGGCCUUAUGGUUGUAAAGCACUUUAAGCGAGGAGGAGGCUACUUUAGUUAAUACCUAGAGAUAGUGGACGUUACUCGCAGAAUAAGCACCGGCUAACUCUGUGCCAGCCGCCGCUGUAA
rnacentral:rRNA from 1 species